rnacentral:rRNA from 1 species
GAUGAACGCUGGCGGCGUGCCUAAUACAUGCAAGUCGAGCGAACGGACGAGAAGCUUGCUUCUCUGAUGUUAGCGGCGGACGGGUGAGUAACACGUGGAUAACCUACCUAUAAGACUGGGAUAACUUCGGGAAACCGGAGCUAAUACCGGAUAAUAUUUUGAACCGCAUGGUUCAAAAGUAAAAGACGGUCUUGCUGUCACUUAUAGAUGGAUCCGCGCUGCAUUAGCUAGUUGGUAAGGUAACGGCUUACCAAGCCAACGAUGCAUAGCCGACCUGAGAGGGUGAUCGGCCACACUGGAACUGAGACACGGUCCAGACUCCUACGGGAGGCAGCAGUAGGGAAUCUUCCGCAAUGGGCGAAAGCCUGACGGAGCAACGCCGCGUGAGUGAUGAAGGUCUUCGGAUCGUAAAACUCUGUUAUUAGGGAAGAACAUAUGUGUAAGUAACUGUGCACAUCUUGACGGUACCUAAUCAGAAAGCCACGGCUAACUACGUG